rnacentral:tRNA from 1 species
GGGGGUAUAGCUCAGUCGGUAGAGUGCUGGCCUCACUUGCGAAAGGCUCUGGGUUCAAUCCCCUGCACCACCA